rnacentral:rRNA from 1 species
GUGGGGAAUAUUGGACAAUGGGCGCAAGCCUGAUCCAGCCACGCCGCGUGAGUGAUGAAGGCCUUCGGGUUGUAAAGCUCUGUGGGGAGGGACGAAAAAGGUACGUAAGAUAACGACGUGCCCUUGACGGUACCUCUUUAGCAAGCACCGGCUAACUCUGUGCCAGCAGCCGCGGUAAGACAGAGGGUGCGAACGUUGCUCGGAAUCACUGGGCGUAAAGCGCGUGUAGGCUGAUAUGUAAGUCAGGUGUGAAAUCCCUGGGCUCAACCCAGGAACUGCAUCUGAAACUGCAUGUCUGGAGUGUCGGAGAGGGAAGCGGAAUUCCUGGUGUAGAGGUGAAAUUCGUAGAUAUCAGGAGGAACACCGGUGGCGAAGGCGGCUUCCUGGACGACUACUGACGCUGAGACGCGAAAGCGUGGGGAGCAAACAGG